GUCAUUGCUGCUAAUCAUAAGAGAGAAGAAGAAGAUGUCUGUGGUGACCGCUAAAGAGGAUAGGAGGUGUUCGGAUAGAUCUUCUCGUAUUAACAUCAAGAUUGUUAGCAAUGUCUGCUCUCCUUUCACUCCCACCCAUGAAAUUUCUCUUGGAUAGUUUCUCUCUUAGCAGCCAUUUCUUGGAUUCCCCUUUAAUUUCUGGAGUGGUUUCUUCUCACUGGUUUAGAGUGCUCUUCUAAGGAUGCUUAACUGGUGGUUUUAGAUUGUGACUGACUUCUUUCUUUGAUUUCUCCUGUCCUUACAAGGUUGAAGGAUGGUUAUGAUUCAGUAACUGUGAGGGUGAAGAGAAGCAUCAAAAUGAAGGACCUAAUGAAGGCUUACAAUGACCGUAGAUCUGUUGGCGACAACACAUUCGAGUUUCUCCUAGAUGGUCAUCGAAUCCAAGCUGGAGAUGAAAGAUGGGGAUGAGAUUGAUGCCAUGGUGCAUGGCCAUGGUGGCUCAGCAAUCUGGUAGUUGUAGCUGUGUUUGUGAAGAGUGUUUCAGAUAGCUCCUGUUGGUGCCAAGAACUGCUCUCCUGUCAUCCUUGGAAACAUGUCUGAAGACAUUAUAAGUUAUCACUUGAACUAAUGUAGCUUAGAAAUCUAAUGUAAUGUGGGCAUGGAGUCAAUUCUGGAUUGCAAUUGAUAGAAAUGGAUGCCAUUUUCCAUCUCUUAGGCUUCCUAAUUGCCUUCUGCAUGACAAUUAUGCAAGCAUAUAUAUGAUCAUGGAACUUCCUGAGCA